UCAGAAAUAGGGUGCAAAAAUCUUACCAAACAGCUUCCGAAAUAGAAAUCACCCCUUGAAAUCGAAAUUAUACCAAAGAGGGUCUUAUGGACAACUCAUUUUCUGUUCAAGAUGGAGGUGCAAUAGCUAUGAGAAAGCAUAUAUUACAGUAGAUGUUUUCAUAUUAAUCAAAUGUCUUCUAGCUUCUGGAAUUCUUUUUUUUUUUUUCUUAAUUGUUCCAUUUAGACAUGGUGUCAAAUCUCCAUCCAAAGUACUAAAUCUAGAUAUUUCUUGGUAUCUUUCUUCCCUGCCCUCCCUUCCACCCUUCAUUCAUUCUUUUUUAUACUUUAUUUUUUCCCAGUUACUAUUUACCAAUAAUAUUAGUGGGGGAAAGUUUAAGAUUUAAUAAAACCUUCAAAUAAGAAAGUAUCCGAAGAUAUUCUGAAGUGUCUUCAUUUUUCCCUCUAAAAAUUAUAUAUUUUAAAAGACAGCAUUCACUAGGAAUCUGUUGUUAUAAAAUCAAUCUCCUACAGAAGUCUUUUGUAUCCUGUUAAUUGUCUGUAUUGCGAGGCUUUGUGUUAAGUGAGCUUAAUUAGACAUAUCGUGUAAAGAUAUAAUGAACAAUGAGAAGAAGAGCCAGAACCACCAUAAAUAAGAAUGAAUAUUUAAAUCUGCUGAUGCCGUUGCCAUGGGAAGUGAUGCUAAUGCCAUUUUUUAGCUCAGUGCUUGAUGUUAUGGAUUUUGGAACCAUCUGUACAAAUUGAUUAUCUAUCAAAUGAAGUAUUUCUUAGACUUCUCAAAAUUCAUCAAAGCCCCUUGACUCUUUGAUGGAGGUGAAAAUGCUUCAUUAGAACCAUUGACUGCACUGCAGUUAGGAGAGGAAUCUGAAAUUGACAGACAUUAGUGUGGAAGCUAUGUUCCUUACCAUCAUUCUCUUAAGCAUAUAUGCUGGAGAUAGCUAGUCUAUGUGAUGUUUUGGCUUGUGGGAGGUAUAUAGAUACUACAAGGAUUCUUCACAUCCAGGUAUUUCUCAUGCCGUCUUGGAUAUCCUAAGUUGACUGCAUAUAAGCAGAUUCAAUAUGGAUCCUAUUCAUGUGUCUAAGUCCCAGGUGAGCCUUUUUCACUUUGAUGUGGAAAAUUUUAUGGUGUAAGAAAGGCAUUGUUGCCUGUGAAAAUGCAUUUUGAAUAGGACUGUAAGAGGCUCUAUCUGAAAAUGUUUGACAUAGAAUCAUUGCAUCCUAAUUUCUGUUUACUACUUUAAGCAUCCAUGUUAAAUCUCCAUCCUCUAUAUACUGUUCCAGUCCAAAUGCAAUUUAUUACUACUUGAAUUCAUUUUUCCACCUAUGUACUAAGCAUGGAGGUGAUUCCUAUUCUAUGAAAUAGGAUCAUACUUUAUAGGAUGGGCUAGGGGAUUAUAUUACCAUUCUCAGAAUCUGGAGGAAGUUGGUAAGAUAUAUCAAUAAGACCCAUAGAAGGUUACUAAAUACUCUGAGGAAGCUGGCCACCCCUUGAUGUUUAUGAUCCAGUUUGAGGAGGGUUACUGCUAACUGCUGUGUGUAUUGUUUCCAUUAAAGCUGUGCCUUCCUUAUAUUAUUGUUUCCAUCACUACUCCAAUCCUAAAAUCAUUUAGGGUUUUGUAUUUUACAUAGAUGACCACUCGAUGCAGUUAAAUCAUCUAAAUUGACUUAUGUUAUUGGAAAUAAGUUUUUUGUUGGCUUAUGUAUGUGUUGGGCCUUUGAUCCCAUGAGUUUUCUUUGUAAUGGGCCACUUUAAUGGGCCUAUAAUAUCGGUGGAGGCUAGGCAUACGGGAUUAGUUAGAUAAAAUGUUUAAUUUCGUUAUGUAAUUGUUAUUUAGUGUUUUAGUUUGGGUGGGUUUGGAUUCUACAAGUUCAGUACUGUUCUGAGUCAGUUAUUAUUGUUUCAGUUUCCUAGUUAGUUUAGGUAAAGCGAUUAGUUAAGGAUUGAGUUAGGCAUGUGUUUGACUCUAUUUUUGAGUCUUCAAAUUCAGUACUACAUUAAGCACAACAGGAUCAAAGUAAGAGGGGAGAUCAGAACUAAAGUGAAAACUUGAAUGGUUGUCUAAAUGAGUGAGAUGUAAAUAUGUUAUGCAGUCAGAUCAGUUAGUCAUUAAACCUGUGUUGUGGUGUGGUGGUGGAUGCUGUAUGUGCAUACAGAGUGGUGGAUUCUGUUGAAUGUGUGACAAGUUUGGAUAAGAGUUGAAUUACUGAUGCAGGUUGAAUGGGAGGAGUUCAUGUGGGUAAAGUGGAGGAGAAGAGAGGUUUAAUUGCGAGUCGGUUUGAGUGCAAACAGCUAAAAAAAGUCAUGGAAUGGACCCUAUGGAUAUCAUUUGAAACAAUUAACUAUUUGAGAGAAGAAAUGGGGCCCAAUGGUUAUUAAGUACACUGUAGAACAACUUGGAUUUGGAAUUGGAUAGAGGAAAAACUAUAACAGUAUACUGAAUGGUAAUGAAGAGGGAAUGACCAAACCUCUUGUAGAGGAUUCACUCACUUUAAGUUUGUACAGACAGCAGAAACUGAAUGAAAUUGGAAAUUUCGAAGUUAAAACACAUUCCAUUCAAAAUCCACAUAAAGCUAAUGAUACAUGUUAAUAUGUAUUUUUCAACCUUGGCCUAUUCUAGAAUCUUUCAAAGCUGAACUUGUUGCCAUGUAUAAAAAGUAAAGUACGAAUUUAAGGGGAUGGAAAACACAACAAAACACUAGAUUGGGUGUUAAAGACUAAUUGGAAUGUUUGAUUAGUGGCUGCUUUGCUGGGAAGGGAGAUUCUCAAUGUUAUUAAAUUAGAAGCUCCAAUAAGUAAUAACUUUACUUUUUUUGUAGUUGGAAACUGCACAAUUGGACUUAAUGGAAGUGUAGUUUGUCUUCCAAGUAUAUGGAGAAAGAACUAAUUUCUUUGAAUACCAUAACAAGGAGUAUUAGAUCCAGACUAAGUAGCUGCAAUAAGUAAAAUAAUGUUUGUCUUACAGCUGAGUACCCAGCUGUAACCCUGUCAAUAAGAUCUGCAAUUCAAUUUUCAAUGUAGGAUUGAAGAUCACCGAUGAUUAUCAUAAAUAAAAAGCAGAUGCAGGGUUGAUGGAAUGAUUUCUGCUAUUUUCACAGCAGAGGGAAAUACUCUUAUAGCAUCAAUACUUAAAAUUUGAAUGAAUGAGACAUGUAUCUUCCAUGUGUGUUGCUUCCUUUGCAAAUGAUGCUUGACUAAAAACUCCCCCCCCCCUCCCCCUGAUGGACUGAUUGACAAUGGUUGGAAGACUGCUAUGAAGUAAUCCUGGACAGCAUUUGAGAAUCAACUGCUAGCAAGUAGCAAGUAGCAAGUCAUGAAUAAUUAUUUCCUUGCCAAGAUCUUUCUAUAUGUUUUAAUUUUGUUUGAAAUUUAAGAUACUGUUCUCAUCAGGAAUAUAUAUUGCUGGAUCUACUUUCAAAUUUUCCUUUUCUAACAAAUUCUUUAUCCAUGACAAGUAAAGGGGGAAAGGAAGAAUGUAAAUCAAGAAGAAAAAAACAAUUCUGGUGGGUGAAUUCUGUACUUGAAAAUGACCCAAAAAGCUUACUAGUGAAAGGCAAUUUAUUUAUUUAUUAAUUUUGGGGUUUCUCAUUCAAAUUUUAAAUACUGGAAUGUCCCAGGAUGAGAAGGACGGCGCUGAGAUGAUUAUUGAUGGGCGGCAAUAAAUAUCUCUGCUGUUGGUGUCUUCCUUGGUAUGACAUUGAAACUGAUGGAAGGUAAGGUACAGGGCCCAGACCAUGAACUUAGAAAAGAAACAAAAUAAGGCUAGUGAAAUAAAGCUGAAGGUACUGCAAAAUACUCACAUGCCAUGUCAAUGAGACUCAUGAUCCCAUGUGGUGCUUUGGUGUAUUUAGAGGAAAGAGAUUCUACUUGUGUUCCAGAAGAGGUCUGAGAAAAUGGAACCAUAUUUAAAAGUUGAUAAAUUAUGCUUUGAUGGAGCCAUUAAGGGAAAAGAACAAAAAUUAAUGAAAAGUGAAAGUCACAUGGGACCAUUGUUUACAAACAUCAAUGUGUAAGAAUGGGGUGUGGAUGUUGGUACUCU